UACGGGGGAUGCAAGCGUUAUCCGGAAUUAUUGGGCGUAAAGCGUCCGCAGGUGGCUGUGUAAGUCUGCUGUCAAAGAGCGAAGCUCAACUUCGUAAAGGCAGUGGAAACUACACGGCUAGAGUGCGUUCGGGGCAGAGGGAACUCCCGGUGUAGCGGUGAAAUGCGCAGAUAUCGGGAGGAACACCUAUGGCGAAGGCAGCUCGCUGGGACGUUACUGACGCUGAGACGCGAAAGCGUGGGGAGCGAACAGG
rnacentral:rRNA from 1 species